AGGUCAGUAGUUCAGUUGGUAGAGCAUCGGUCUCCAAAACCGAGUGUCGCGGGUUCGAGUCCUGCCUGGCCUG
rnacentral:tRNA from 1 species